UACAGAGGUCUCAAGCGUUGUUCGGAUUCAUUGGGCGUAAAGGGUGCGUAGGCGGCGCCGUAAGUCGGGUGUGAAAUUUCGGAGCUUAACUCCGAAACUGCAUUUGAUACUGCGUUGCUUGAGGACUGGAGAGGAGACUGGAAUUCACGGUGUAGCAGUGAAAUGCGUAGAUAUCGUGAGGAAGACCAGUGGCGAAGGCGGGUCUCUGGACAGUUCCUGACACUGAGGCACGAAGGCCAGGGGAGCAAACGGG
rnacentral:rRNA from 1 species